UCCCUCGCUCCCGGCGCUGAAGCUCGCGCGCACUUCUCUCCAGGCCCGCGAGCCUUCGACGACCGCCGUCCAGGUCCCUCUGAAACCCGGUCGCACCAUGUCUUCGCCUCCCGAGGGGAAGCUAGAGACGAAAGCUGGACACCCGCCCGCCGUGAAAGCCGGUGGGAUGCGAAUUGUGCAGAAACACCCGCAUGCCGGAGACACCAGAGAAGAGAAGGACAAAGACGACCAGGAGUGGGAAAGCCCCAGUCCACCCAGACCGACCGUGUUCAUCUCCGGUGUUAUCGCCCGGGGCGACAAGGACUUCCCCCCGGCGGCUGCCCAGGUGGCCCACCAGAAGCCCCACGCCUCCAUAGACAAGCACUCUUCCCCGAGGACACAGCACAUCCAGCAGCCUCGCAAGUGACUGGCGAGGACCCAGCACCCUCACCAGCCGGGCCUCAGUUCCCCGACACUUGGUAUUUCCCCAGCAAAGAGAACUGGUAUUUUCUUCAAGACACUGCUCCCUUGGGAAAUUUAAGACAGAGCAAAGCGCCCCUUCCUUUGCCUUGAAUUUCCAUAUCUAAAGCUAGAAUCAGACCCCAAAGCUUGUUUCCAGGGAGUCCUGGCAGGUGUUGUCUGCGAAUCACUGUGGCGCUACAAGUGCCGUUAGCAGAACUUGCUAAGACUUGAGUGAAAUGGAAUUGUUCAGAGUUUAGCUUCAGUUCCGGUUUAUCAGUUGCCCUGGUCUUAAAAACAAGCGGGCACAAAUUUGGGAGGGUUAGAUCAGGUCAGGGGAAAACUCAAUCAUUUCAUGCUUUUCGGUAAGAGGACAAUAAAGUCUUAAUACCUAGUGGGGAGAGAAAGAGAUGAGAGCGUUAAUUACAGAAAAACUGAGCAGGGGAGACUUUUGAAACAGGCAACAGCGUCACUUCAUUUCUCUCCUUUGUGUGAUGAGGGAUCACAGCACAGGGCGACACCAAGCACUCCCAGGAAAACCAGGGAAAAGCUUACAGCUUUGAAACGGCUCUUUCAUUCCAGGGGUCAUCUUGCUGAAAAAUUUGCCCAAAGGGAAUACUUCCAGAAUGAGGUUUCUCAGUGUGGGUCCCAAGUCCUGCAUUGCCCCACCAUCCAGACAGGCUUGCUGCGAAAUCAAGGCAAACCUUCAUUUUUUCAGUAAUCACCUCUAGAGCUGCUCUUGAGCUCUGGGAGUGAUCACUGACCAGGUGGAGGAAUAGAUGCCUAGCUAAUUCUGGAACACUAGAGCAAAAGCACUGACCACGUGGGAAGAUGAGACGAGAACCUGCCCUUUGUCUCCCUAGGGCAAAGUAGAACUACCACGUGCCAUUUGAGCUAGAAAAGCCUGUUUGUCCAUCAGUCGAAGUGUCAGGAACUCCCUCUGCCCAAGGGCACAUGUACCUGGGCCCGUGUUCACUUGGGCCUCUCAAAUUAUCCUACGCUUUCUGCCUGGGUUUCCUACCCAAAGCUGCCUUAGACUGCUCGGUGGCUGAUGGCUAUUGGGUGCUCUGCUUUUCUGAAAAGCCAAUGGGCUCGUUUACUCAGAUGUUCAAAUCUCCCGGAGCAGAUGCUUUGGGAGAGGGUGCAGCCCAGCUGGCACGCUUGCCAGCAUGGUGUUUGCCGCGGGGUCAGCAGUGCGCACACCACAGCCUUUCUGAUGCCCUUUCCAGCUCCACGUCCGUGACUGGUAAAGGUGACACAGACCUAGCAGACCCAGCUCUCACCCUUUCCUAAGGAAAAAGCUGGCCCUGCUUAACAUCCUAAAGGCAACAUUUGGUUUCCCAUCUCACUGACUUGCGGCAGCCGGGGUCUCACCCUCAAGGCACCGUGUAGUCACCUCUCAUACUUCUUAAUCGCUGAGAUGUUGCUAAAAACUGAGGCUGGCUUUUAGAGAUGCAGAUAGGGCGGGCAGCCUCCUCCCGGCCGUCUCCUGGAGCCGGCAUCUCAGAAGGAUGCUGAGAACAGGCAGCACUAGGUCAGUCUGUGGACCACUGCACCCUCUGGUGCAGAGAUGAAGACGCAUCCUUGAUACUUUUUAGUGUGGCAGCCAGGACUGCCAUGCUGUUUCCCAAGGUGCAUUUUUCUUGUCCUUUUAGCUACAUCUGGCAUGUAUCUGUAGAUCACUGAAAGCAAAAUGUUCUUCUGAAUGAGUUUAUCGAUGGUUAACCUCAAGAAGAAUAAUGAUUAUAAUAAAGCUCCUGCAUUUCUUCUCAUGGUUUGUUUUUUCUUACAUCUCAGAGACUUUUCCUUCUCAUUUUAUUGGAGUUGCCAGAUGGUUUCAAUAGAAAUACGAACAUGCAAAAAUGAGGGGUAUUUUCACAAACUGUUUCCCAGACACAAAGCCAAACUAUUGGACAGCAGGCACCUUGAGUCUAAUCGUCUACUUUAAAAUGUCAUAAAAUGGAAAAGCUUAAUGCAGUGGAUUAAAACACAUUCCUUGGGUUCAGCAGCUGGCCCCGUGCUGGGAAGGCCCUUUGGGAACAGACUUAGAAGGAAUGAUUAGUAGUAAGCCCGGGGAUGGCUGUAUGCAGCUUUUGAUGAAUAAACUAAUUUAUC
ensembl:lncRNA